rnacentral:rRNA from 1 species
AGAGUUUGAUCCUGGCUCAGAACGAACGCUGGCGGCAGGCCUAACACAUGCAAGUCGAACGACAUAGUGGCAGACGGGUGAGUAACGCGUGGGAACGUACCUUUCGCUACGGAAUAGCUCUUGGAAACGAGUGGUAAUACCGUAUACGCCCUUCGGGGGAAAGAUUUAUCGGCGAAAGAUCGGCCCGCGUUAGAUUAGUUUGUUGGUGGGGUAAUGGCCUACCAAGACUACGAUCUAUAGCUGGUCUGAGAGGAUGAUCAGCCACACUGGGACUGAGACACGGCCCAGACUCCUACGGGAGGCAGCAGUGGGUUAUCUUGCACAAUGGGCGAAAGCCUGAUUGAUCCCGGCCGCCUGGAUGAUGAAGGCCUUAGGGUUGUAAAAUUCUUUCGCUAGGGAUGAUAAUGACAGUACCUAGUAAAGAAGCCCCGGCUAACUUCGUGCCAGAGGCCGCGGGAAUUCGAACGGGGCUUACCUUGUUACGACUUACUGACCCUAAAGCGCCCGUAGGCCGCCUUUUAUAGUCACAUGCGAAAUCUCGGGGCUCAACCUAGGAACUGCAUUUGAAACUGGAAGUCUGGAGUUCAGGAGAGGUUAGCGGAAUACCGAGUGUAGAGGUGAAAUUCGUAGAUAUUCGGUGGAACACCAGUGGCGAAGGCGGCUAACUGGACCAAUUCUGAUGCUGACGGGCGAAAGUGUGGGGAGCAAACAGGAUUAGAUACCCUGGUAGUCCACACCGUAAACGAUGACAGCUAGUUGUUGGCAGGCAUGCCUGUCGGUGACGCAGCUAACCCGUUAACCUGUCCGCCUGGGGAGUACGGCCGCAAGGUUAAAACUCAAAGUAUUCACCGUGGCAUGCUGAUCCGGUGGAGCAUGUGGUUUACUUCGAAGCAACGCGCAGAACCUUACCUACCCUUGACAUGCCCAUCGAGGUUGCCAGAGAUGGAUUCCUGAACUGAGGCUGGAUAUGUGUCAGGUGCUGCCAUGGCUGUCGUCAGCACGUGUCGUAAGUGUUGGGUUACGUCCCGCAACGAUCCCCACCUUCCUCCUUAGUUGCCAGCACGUUUUAGUGCCCACCCUAAGGAAACGUGCCGAUGGCAAGCCUAAGGAAGGUGGGGUUGACGUCAAGUCCUCAUGGCGCUUGCGGGUAAUCCAACACACGUGCUACAAUAGCAGUGACGACAGGAUAAUCCCAUGAACCUGUCACCGAUCAGAUUGUCCUCUGCAACUCGAGGACAUGAAUCUGGAAUCGGUAUGUCUACUGUAUCAGCAUGCCACGGUGAAUACGUUCCCGGGCCUUGUACACACCGCCCGUCACAUCAUGGGAAUUGGCUCUACCCGAAGACGCUGUGCUAACUUCGGAGGCAGGCGGCCACGGUAGGGUCAGUGACUGGGAUGAAGUCGUAACAAGGUAGCCGUA